rnacentral:rRNA from 1 species
UACGGAGGGUGCGAGCGUUGUCCGGAAUCACUGGGCGUAAAGGGCGCGUAGGUGGCGUCGCAAGUCAACGGUGAAAGCUCGACGCUCAACCUCGGAUCGGCCGUGGCGACUCGUGGGCUGGAGCACUGUAGAGGCGGGUGGAAUUCCGGGUGUAGCGGUGGAAUGCGUAGAGAUCCGGAAGAACACCAGCGGCGAAGGCGGCGCUCUGGGCCGGAACUGACGCUGAGGAGCGAAAGCGUGGGUAGCAAACAGG